rnacentral:misc_RNA from 1 species
GAUGAAGAACGUAGCGAAAUGCGAUACGUAAUGUGAAUUGCAGAAUUCAGUGAAUCAUCGAGUCUUUGAACGCACAUUGCGCCCCCUGGUAUUCCGGGGGGCAUGCCUGUCCGAGCGUCAUUGCUGCCCUCAAGCACGGCUUGUGUGUUGGGCCUCCGUCCUCCUCCCGGGGGACGGGCCCGAAAGGCAGCGGCGGCACCGCGUUCGGUCCUCGAGCGUAUGGGGCUUCGUCACCCGCUCUUGUAGGCCCGGCCGGCGCUUGCCGACACAUCAAUCUUUUUUCCAGGUUGACCUCGGAUCAGGUAGGGAUACCCGCUGAACUUAAGCAUAUCAAUAAGCGGAGGA